rnacentral:rRNA from 1 species
AUUGAACGCUGGCGGCAGGCCUAACACAUGCAAGUCGAACGAGUGGCGGACUGGUGAGCAAUGUCUUGGAAACUGCCUGAUGUAGGGGGAUAACUACUGGAAACGGUAGCUAAUACCGCAUACCAUCGGAUCUGCUCUGAGGGGAUUAGCUAGUAGGUGGGGCAAAGGCUCACCUAGGCGACGAUCCCUAGCUGGUCUGAGAGGAUGACCGGCCACACUGGGACUGAGACACGGUCCAGAAUCCUACGGGAGGCAGCAGUGGGGAAUAUUGCGCAAUGGGCGAAAGCCUGAUGCAGCAAUGCCGCGUGUAUGAAGAAGGCUUUCGGGUUGUAAAGUACUUUCGGCGGAGAGGCGUUACCCGAAGAAGAAGCACCGGCUAACUCCGUGCCAGCAGCCGCGGUAAUAC